rnacentral:rRNA from 1 species
UACGUAGGCAGCGAGCGUUGUUCGGAGUUACUGGGCGUAAAGGGUGUGUAGGCGGUUCUUUAAGUUUGGUGUGAAAUCUCCCGGCCUCAACCGGGAGGGUGCGCCGAAUACUGAGGAACUUGGAGUAUGGGAUGGGAAAGUGGAAUUCCUGGUGUAGCGGUGAAAUGCGUAGAUAUCAGGAGGAACACCUGUGGUGUAGACGGCUUUCUGGACCAUAACUGACGCUGAGACACGAAAGCGUGGGUAGCAAACAGG